CGCUGGCGGCGUGCUAACACAUGCAAGUCGAACGAAGCACUUGUGAAGGAGACUUCGGUCAAUGGAUCAAGUGACUUAGUGGCGGACGGGUGAGUAACGCGUGAGCAACCUGCCUUUCAGAGGGGGAUAACGUUUGGAAACGAACGCUAAUACCGCAUAACAUAGCGGAGCCGCAUGACUCUGCUAUCAAAGGAGCAAUCCGCUGGAAGAUGGGCUCGCGUCCGAUUAGAUAGUUGGUGGGGUAACGGCCUACCAAGUCGACGAUCGGUAGCCGGACUGAGAGGUUGAACGGCCACAUUGGGACUGAGACACGGCCCAGACUCCUACGGGAGGCAGCAGUGGGGAAUAUUGCACAAUGGGCGCAAGCCUGAUGCAGCAACGCCGCGUGAGGGAAGACGGUUUUCGGAUUGUAAACCUCUGUCCUUGGUGAAGAAGAAUGACGGUAGCCGAGGAGGAAGCCACGGCUAACUACGUGCCAGCAGCAGC
rnacentral:rRNA from 1 species